rnacentral:rRNA from 1 species
AUUGAACGCUGGCGGCAGGCCUAACACAUGCAAGUCGAACGAGUGGCGGACGGGUGAGUAAUGUCUAGGAAUCUGCCUGAUGGAGGGGGAUAACGUCCGGAAACGGGAGCUAAUACCGCAUACCAUCGGAUGUGCCCAGUUUGGAUUAGCUAGUUGGUGGGGUAAAGGCCUACCAAGGCGACGAUCCCUCGCUGGUCUGAGAGGAUGAUCAGCCACACUGGAACUGAGACACGGUCCAGACUCCUACGGGAGGCAGCAGUGGGGAAUAUUGGACAAUGGGCGAAAGCCUGAUGCAGCCAUGCCGCGUGUGUGAAGAAGGCCUUCGGGUUGUAAAGUACUUUAAGCGGGGAGGCGUUACCAGCAGAAGAAGCACCGGCUAACUCCGUGCCAGCAGCCGCGGUAAUUC